rnacentral:misc_RNA from 1 species
UUAAGUUCAGCGGGUAUUCCUACCUGAUCCGAGGUCAACCAUUAAAAUUGGGGGGUUUAGCGGCUGAGAGCUGCAACACCUAACCAAAGCGAGAAAAAAAUUACUACGCUCAGAGGAUAUUACAGAUCCGCCGUUGUAUUUCAGGAACUACAAUACAGUAGAUUCCCAACACUAAGCUAGGCUUAAGGGUUGAAAUGACG